CCCGGCCUGCUGCCGCCACGGCCCGGCGAGCCGCCCUUCCAUGGCCUGUUCCCGCCGGCCGGCCUACCGCGCUCCUACGAGGAACAGCUGGUGCAGCUGUCGGCGCACGCCGCUGCUCAGGAGCACAUGCAGCGUCAGCUGCUGGAGCGCGAGCGGCUGAGCCUGCCCCUGCCGCACGGGGUACCCACCUCGCUGCACUCGUCCCUACUAGCCCAGCACCAGGCUCAGCAGGAGUACCUCAGGCUUCAGCGAGAGCGUGAUAAGAGAUGAUGGCGGGAUGCGCAGCGCACCUGAUCAGCGCCGCUCUGAACUGGCACGGUGCCGGGCGCCGCCGCUGCCAGCAGUGCUCACAUUACUCACGGGUCCCGUCCGUCACGGUCCGCCCUUAUGGUGUCCGACAGCGGCGAGACGCGACCGAAGAUAGCGUCCGCUCAAAUUCUGCCUGUCUCGGUCAGCACCGGCACCAGGGGCAGACUGGUGCCCUUCGACUAGGUCACUCAGGCUCCUUCGAGUCUGUUAAGGUGCGCUCAGAUCUCGUUGCGUUGUAGCUUGUUUUGCGCCGCUGGUGAAUGGCGGCCAUUUUGGUUUGGUUCGAUAGCAUAAUUUAUGGACCAUGCAGGUACUUAACUUCCAACGAAUGUAGCCUGUGUCAGAGUAUCUCUGGGACAAGAACAAGAGUGUUGCAUAAAUAAGAGUGGCGUGGAACCCGCUCCGACAGUAAUUUUGGACUCGAGGCCAUUCCUCUAUUCAUCGCCUCAGGUCUAAUAUCCAGGCUGACAAUUUUUGAGAGCUCACCCCCUAAAGUGGGGCAAAUUGGAGACCCUGCUCUUGGGUGCCGAACGCUGUCCAACAAUGCAUCGCGUAAUGUUUGCUACCAUAGUCCAUAUCUGGGUGCAUCCAUAUUGUCCAUAAUCAAAGACCGCACACGCCGUGGUGCGGGCGUCGUGGCGUCGUGUCAUAAGUGUACGCGUCUGUUGUACGUACCUGCACUACUGUGAUGUGGGAACUUCCCCCAAUAUCACUCGAGAAGC